AUUGAACGCUGGCGGCAGGCUUAACACAUGCAAGUCGAGCGGAGAUGAGGUGCUUGCACCUUAUCUUAGCGGCGGACGGGUGAGUAAUGCUUAGGAAUCUGCCUAUUAGUGGGGGACAACAUUCCGAAAGGAAUGCUAAUACCGCAUACGCCCUACGGGGGAAAGCAGGGGAUCUUCGGACCUUGCGCUAAUAGAUGAGCCUAAGUCGGAUUAGCUAGUUGGUGGGGUAAGGGCCUACCAAGGCGACGAUCUGUAGCGGGUCUGAGAGGAUGAUCCGCCACACUGGGACUGAGACACGGCCCAGACUCCUACGGGAGGCAGCAGUGGGGAAUAUUGGACAAUGGGCGGAAGCCCGAUCCAGCCAUGCCGCGUGUGUGAAGAAGGCCUUUUGGUUGUAAAGCACUUUAAGCGAGGAGGAGGCUACCUGGAUUAAUACUCUAGGAUAGUGGACGUUACUCGCAGAAUAAGCACCGGCUAACUCUGUGCCAGCCGCCGCCGUAA
rnacentral:rRNA from 1 species